rnacentral:rRNA from 1 species
AGAAUAAGGGUUCGACUCCGGAGAGGGAGCCUGAGAAACGGCUACCACAUCCAAGGAAGGCAGCAGGCGCGCAAAUUACCCACUCUCGGCACGAGGAGGUAGUGACGAAAAAUAACGAGAUGGAUCUCUUUGAGGCCCAUUAUCGGAAUGAGAACAAUUCAAAUCCUUUAACGAGGAUCUAGCGGAGGGCAAGUCUGGUGCCAGCAGCCGCGGUAAUUCCAGCUCCGCAGGUGUAUAUCUAUGCUGCUGCGGUUAAAAAGCUCGUAGUUGGAUCUGCGUGCUCGGAACUGGUUGGCUCACUGAGUUCAAACUGGUCUCCGGCGCUUUAUUUGCUGGUUUUCCCUUGAUGCUCUUAACCGGGUGUCUCGGGUGGCUAGCGUGUUUACUUUGAAAAAAUUAGAGUGCUCAAUACAGGCGCAAAGCCUUGAAUAGUGGUGCAUGGAAUAAUAGAAUAGGACCUCGGCUCUAUUUUGUUGGUUUUCGGAACACGAGGUAAUGAUUAAGAGGGACAGACGGUGGCAUUCGUAUUGCGACGUUAGAGGUGAAAUUCUUGGAUCGUCGCAAGACGGACGACUGCGAAAGCAUUUGCCAAGAAUGUUUUCAUUAAUCAAGAACGAAAGUUAGAGGUUCGAAGGCGAUCAGAUACCGCCCUAGUUCUAACCGUAAACGAUGCCAACUAGCGAUUCGCAGGCGUUAAACAACGACCUUGCGGGCAGCUUCCCGGAAACGAAAGUGUUCCGGUUCCGGGGGAAGUAUGGUUGCAAAGCUGAAACUUAAAGGAAUUGACGGAAGGGCACCACCAGGAGUGGAGCCUGCGGCUUAAUUUGACCCAACACGGGAAAACUCACCCGGCCCGGACGCCGUAAGGAUUGACAGAUUGAGAGCUCUUUCUUGAUUCGGUGGGUGGUGGUGCAUGGCCGUUCUUAGUUGGUGGAGCGAUUUGUCUGGUUUAUUCCGAUAACGAACGAGACUCUGGCCUACUAAAUAGUGGGCGGAUUCUUUCUGUCCGCAACACUUCUUAGAGGGACAAGCGGUGUUCAGCCGCACGAGAUUGAGCAAUAACAGGUCUGUGAUGCCCUUAGAUGUCCGGGGCUGCACGCGCGCUACACUGAAGGAAUCAGCGUGCUUUCUGACCUUGCCCGAAAGGGCUGGGUAACCCGAUGAAAAUCCUUCGUGAUUGGGAUAGGGACUUGCAAUUAUUUCCCUUGAACGAGGAAUUCCCAGUAAGUGUGGGUCAUAAGCUCGCGUUGAUUACGUCCCUGCCCUUUGUACACACCGCCCGUCGCUGCCCGGGACUGAGCCGUUUCGAGAAGAACAGGGACCGUCGUUGAAGGGCCCUAACGGGCUUUUCUCUGAUAGAAACUGUUUUAAUCGCAGUGGCUUGAACCGGGCAAAAGUCGUAACAAGGUU